rnacentral:lncRNA from 13 species
ACUGCUUGUAAAAGGAAACAAAACAGAAUUUGUUCUCAUAUCAGAAGGCAAUCAAAGAACAUACAGAUAAUAUACAUAUCAUAGAGGUAUGACAUACAGGUAAUUAAUAAAAUUUUUUCUUACUUUGUGUUAUUA